CUCAGAAAAUUGGCAUGGACAUGGUAUUCAAGACUCCAACUUAGGUCUAAUCAUUUGUUCGAAUAGCUCGAUAGGCUGUUUGUUGCUGACUUUGAUAGCAACUAAGCUCAAUCAAAAAAUUUCAAUAGCCUCUUCUCACUCCGAUAAGAAGACGGUGAGUCACUACGUGAACUAUGUCAUGCACUUCAAUGCCACUAUACUAGAGGUGGACAACCUUGAUGUGUCAAUGGCA
rnacentral:lncRNA from 1 species